rnacentral:tRNA from 1 species
UGGGUUGCUAACUCAAUGGCAGAGUACUCGGCUUUUAAGUUCCGGGUUCGAGUCCCGGGCAACCCA